rnacentral:rRNA from 1 species
UACGUAGGGCGCAAGCGUUAUCCGGAAUUAUUGGGCGUAAAGAGCUCGUAGGCGGUUUGUCGCGUCUGCCGUGAAAGUCCGGGGCUCAACUCCGGGUCUGCAGUCGAUACGGGCAGACUUGAGUGUUGCAGGGGAGACUGGAAUUCCUGGUGUAGCGGUGAAAUGCGCAGAUAUCAGGAGGAACACCGGUGGCGAAGGCGGGUCUCUGGGCAACAACUGACGCUGAGGAGCGAAAGCGUGGGGAGCGAACAGG